rnacentral:lncRNA from 1 species
CACCUUACACUAAAAUUCAAGUCCCAGAGUUCUAGGAUUUUUUAAAUCACUAACACAACAAACAAGCAACUAGUAUACAAACCACAUGCAUGUCAAUUUCAAUCAUUUUGGUGCAUACUGAAAUCACCUAUAUGCUAAAUAUUUCAUUUCUCUCUUGCAUCUAAACUUUUUCAAUCAUUACAAUCCCCAAAAUAAAUUCUAACAAGAAAUAAAGUAUUUCAAUGAAUAAUCCCCCGAUAACCCUCAUGCUAAAAAUAAGUUAAUGAAACAGGGCACACAAAAACGACACUAAACCCGAAGAUGAUUAUGGUUCGAAGUAGCUCUAAGCUCCUGUUGCAUGCAGUUUCUUUGUUUCACUUAUUUGAGUGUAUUCACAAGGUUAGAGAGGCAGAUUCCCACAUGCAAAGUUAUUGGGCCACUUUUGUGGGAUUUUAGUGAACUUUAGUACUUGGAAGAUUUGUGAGAGAAGGAAGAACGGAGGAUUUGCAAAAGAAGGUGAACAAUAACUGAUAUUGGUGUCUUCAUAAUGUUUUGAGAGUGUGUAACUGGAAAAUGAAAGAAAAUGAAGGUGGAAGAUGGG